AUUGAACGCUGGCGGCAUGCCUUACACAUGCAAGUCGAACGGUAACAGGUUAAGCUGACGAGUGGCGAACGGGUGAGUAAUGUAUCGGAACGUGCCCUGUCGUGGGGGAUAACUGCUCGAAAGAUCAGCUAAUACCGCAUACGACCUGAGGGGGAAUGCGGCGGAUCGCAAGACCUCGCGCGAUUGGAGCGGCCGAUAUCGGAUUAGCUAGUUGGUGAGUUAAAGGCUCACCAGGCCGACGAUCUGUAGCUGGUCUGAGAGGACGGACAGCCACACUGGGAGGGAGACACGGCCCAGACUCCUACGGGAGGCAGCAGUGGGGAAUUUUAGGCAAAGGGGGCAAGCCUGAUCCAGCCAUGCCGCGUGAGGGAAGAAGGCGUUCGGGUUGGAAACCGCUUUUGUCAGGGAAGAAAAGGUUCUGGCUAAUACCUGGGGCUCAUGACGGUACCUGGAGAAUAAGCACCGGCUAACUACGUG
rnacentral:rRNA from 1 species